CCAUUAUUUGAGGUUAGUAUUUUAAUCUAUGAUCUUUAUCUAUUGAUGUAUGAUUUUUUUAAUAAAACUAUUAUUGUCUCAUCAAGAUUUUGUCUCAACUCAAUGCUUUAAAAAAUUUAUCUGAUAGAGAACUUAGAUUGUAUUUGGUGGUGCUAGGAAGGAUAUAUAUUGACACGAAAAUCAAAAAAGUAGUUUAAAAAUAACAA
rnacentral:lncRNA from 1 species